CCUACGGGUGGCAGCAGUGGGGAAUAUUGCACAAUGGGGGGAACCCUGAUGCAGCGACGCCGCGUGAGUGAAGAAGUAUUUCGGUAUGUAAAGCUCUAUCAGCAGGGAAGAAAAUGACGGUACCUGACUAAGAAGCCCCGGCUAACUACGUGCCAGCAGCCGCGGUAAUACGUAGGGGGCAAGCGUUAUCCGGAUUUACUGGGUGUAAAGGGAGCGUAGACGGCAUGGCAAGUCAGAAGUGAAAGCCCAGGGCUCAACCGUGGGACUGCUUUUGAAACUGUCCGGCUAGAGUGCAGGAGAGGUAAGCGGAAUUCCUAGUGUAGCGGUGAAAUGCGUAGAUAUUAGGAGGAACACCAGUGGCGAAGGCGGCUUACUGGACAGUAACUGACGUUGAGGCUCGAAAGCGUGGGGAGCAAACAGGAUUAGAUACCCUGGUAGUC
rnacentral:rRNA from 1 species